rnacentral:tRNA from 4 species
GGGCUGUUAGCUCAGUUGGUAGAGCAGCUGACUCUUAAUCAGCGGGUCGCAGGUUCGAACCCUGCACAGCCCACCA